GAUGCCGUAGGCAAGUGGCUAAGCCAGAAGUUUGCAAAACUUCCAUGCGUGGGUUCGAAUCCCACCGGCAUCU
rnacentral:tRNA from 1 species